UUAUGAGAGUUUGAUCCUGGCUCAGGACGAACGCUGGCGGCGUGCCUAAUACAUGCAAGUCGAACGCUUUUUCUUUCACCGGAGCUUGCUCCACCGAAAGAAAAAGAGUGGCGAACGGGUGAGUAACACGUGGGUAACCUGCCCAUCAGAAGGGGAUAACACUUGGAAACAGGUGCUAAUACCGUAUAACACUAUUUUCCGCAUGGAAGAAAGUUGAAAGGCGCUUUUGCGUCACUGAUGGAUGGACCCGCGGUGCAUUAGCUAGUUGGUGAGGUAACGGCUCACCAAGGCAACGAUGCAUAGCCGACCUGAGAGGGUGAUCGGCCACACUGGGACUGAGACACGGCCCAGACUCCUACGGGAGGCAGCAGUAGGGAAUC
rnacentral:rRNA from 1 species